rnacentral:rRNA from 1 species
CCUACGGGAGGCAGCAGUGGGGAAUAUUGCACAAUGGGCGAAAGCCUGAUGCAGCGACGCCGCGUGAGGGAUGACGGCCUUCGGGUUGUAAACCUCUUUCAGCAGGGAAGAAGCGAGAGUGACGGUACCUGCAGAAGAAGCGCCGGCUAACUACGUGCCAGCAGCCGCGGUAAUACGUAGGGCGCAAGCGUUGUCCGGAAUUAUUGGGCGUAAAGAGCUCGUAGGCGGCUUGUCACGUCGGGUGUGAAAGCCCGGGGCUUAACCCCGGGUCUGCAUUCGAUACGGGCUAGCUAGAGUGUGGCAGGGGAGAUCGGAAUUCCUGGUGUAGCGGUGAAAUGCGCAGAUAUCAGGAGGAACACCGGUGGCGAAGGCGGAUCUCUGGGCCAUUACUGACGCUGAGGAGCGAAAGCGUGGGGAGCGAACAGGAUUAGAUACCCUGGUAGUCCACGCCGUAAACGGUGGGAACUAGGUGUUGGCGACAUUCCACGUCGUCGGUGCCGCAGCUAACGCAUUAAGUUCCCCGCCUGGGGAGUACGGCCGCAAGGCUAAAACUUAAGGAAUUGACGG